ensembl:lncRNA
GUUCGUACUCCUUCUCCUCACUCUCUCCCAGCUCCAGUCACAGUGCUGAAUCAGAAACCGAGACUAAGCGUCAGUCAUGAUGGUCAGUUUGAUGAAUUGAGAUUUGUGUGUGAAAUAUCAGGGUCAGAGUCAGUAACUGCUGAUUUUAGCUGUAAUCUCUACACUGGAGAAAAUCCUCAGAUUUUCCUAAUCCAAAGAUCUCAAAAGAGAAAAUCUGUGAAGGUUUGUAGUUUUACAGCACAGAGAGACGCUGUGUUUAAUCGUCUGCAGUCAGUAAA